rnacentral:rRNA from 1 species
UACGGAGGGUGCAAGCGUUUAAUCGGAAUUACUGGGCGUAAAGCGUGCGUAGGUGGUUCGUUAAGUCCGUUGUGAAAGCCCCGAGCUCAACUUGGGAAUUGCAGUGGAUACUGGCGAGCUGGAGUGCGGUAGAGGAAGGUGGAAUUCCCGGUGUAGCGGUGAAAUGCGUAGAGAUCGGGAGGAACACCAGUGGCGAAGGCGGCCUUCUGGACCAGCACUGACACUCAAGCACGAAAGCGUGGGGAGCAAACAGG